rnacentral:rRNA from 1 species
UACGUAGGGGGCCAGCGUUGUCCGGAAUCAUUGGGCGUAAAGCGCGCGUAGGCGGCCAGAUAAGUCCGGUGUGAAAGUCAAAGGCUCAACCUUUGAAUGCCGCUGGAAACUGCCUGGCUUGAGUCCGGAAGGGGCGAGUGGAAUUCCUGGUGUAGCGGUGAAAUGCGUAGAUAUCGAGAGGAACACCUGCGGCGAAGGCGGGUUGCUGGGCUGACACUGACGCUGAUGCGCGAAAGCUAGGGGAGCGAACGGG